rnacentral:snRNA from 1 species
AGGUGAGCUAUAUCAUUUUAUCUACAGGCUGUGACACCUACUGUUCACCAGGGUUGAUUCGGCUGAUCUCGAUGGCUAGGUGUCCCCUUCCUCCCUCACCACUCCAUGUGCGUCCCUCCAACAACUUCCCCCUAAUAGGGAAGGACGGGACUUCAGUCAAGGGUAUACGGGGAGGAGCUGUGCUCCCCUGCUGGAACCUCCAAACAAGCUCUCAGGGUCCAUUUCAUCUAUAGACCAGCAUAGUGAAGUAGACAGAUAAUGAAGCAUCUGCAUUCUAUUCUAAUAU